CAAAGUACGCACAUGGGUUAUACGGCUGUCCCGCUCUCACUUAUGGAACAGCAUAGGCAAUUCCGCAUCAGUGUUGCAAUGUGUAGGACUCAGCUAAAGAGAUGCUUAACGGGGUAAAGUCAUUUGGUUUGCAGUAAUCGUAACUACAGUGUAAUUAUUCUGAAAUAAAGAAAAAUUGUUUUUAA